GCCCCUAUCGUCUAGCGGUUUAGGACAGCUCUCUUUCACGGAGUCAGCGGGGAUUCGACUUCCCCUGGGGGUG
rnacentral:tRNA from 1 species